UUGCCAAUCAUAAGAUUAGCGUGUAUCGCAAUACGAGCGGCAGACGGGUGAGUAACGCGUAGGAAUCUAAAAAAUCUGCGGGAUAACGCAUGGAAACGUGUGCUAAUACCGCAUACGCCCUAUUGGGGGAAAGAUUUUAUUGGAGAGAGAUGAGCCUGCGUUGGAUUAGCUAGUUGGUAGGGUAAGAGCCUACCAAGGCUACGAUCUAUAGCUGGUCUGAGAGGACGAUCAGCCACACUGGGACUGAGACACGGCCCAGACUCCUACGGGAGGCAGCAGUGGGGAAUAUUGGACAAUGGGGGCAACCCUGAUCCAGCCAUGCCGCGUGAGUGAAGAAGGCCUUAGGGUUGUAAAGCUCUUUCGCCGGAGAAGAUAAUGACGGUAUUCGGAGAAGAAGCCCCGGCUAACUUCGUGCCAGCAGCCGCGGUAAUACUAAUUUUUUUGAGCGUUGUUCGGAAUAACUGGGCGUAAAGGGCGCGUGGGCGGGCGAUUAAGUUAGAGGUGAAAUCCCAGGGCUCAACCUUGGAACUGCCUUUAAUACUGGUUGUCUAGAGUUUAGG
rnacentral:rRNA from 1 species